UUUAAAGGAUAAAAGUAAUCCACUGGUCUU
rnacentral:tRNA from 2 species